rnacentral:rRNA from 1 species
UAAAGCCUGGGAAAUUGCCCUGAUGUGGGGGAUAACCAUUGGAAAACGAUGGCUAAUACCGCAUGAUGUCUACGGACCAAUGAGGGGGACUUCGGGCCUCUCGCGUCAGGAUAUGCCCAGGUGGGAUUAGCUAGUUGGUGAGGUAAUGGCUCACCAAGGCGACGAUCCCUAGCUGGUCUGAGAGGAUGAUCAGCCACACUGGAACUGAGACACGGUCCAGACUCCUACGGGAGGCAGCAGUGGGGAAUAUUGCACAAUGGGCGCAAGCCUGAUGCAGCCAUGCCGCGUGUAUGAAGAAGGCUUCGGGUUGUAAAGUACUUUCAGCAGUGAGGAAGGAUGUAGUUUUAACAGAGCUGCAUUUUGACGUUAGCUGCAGAAGAAGCACCGGCUAACUCCGUGCCAGCAGCCGCGGUAAUACGGAGGGUGCGAGCGUUAAUCGGAAUUACUGGGCGUAAAGCGCAUGCAGGUGGUCUGUUAAGUCAGAUGUGAAAGCCCGGGGCUUAACCCCGGAGUUGCAUUUGAAACUGGCAGGCUAGAGUACUGUAGAGGGGGGUAGAAUUUCAGGUGUAGCGGUGAAAUGCGUAGAGAUCUGAAGGAAUACCGGUGGCGAAGGCGGCCCCCUGGACAGAUACUGACACUCAGAUGCGAAAGCAUGGGGAGCAAACAGGAUUAGAUACCCUGGUAGUCCACGCCGUAAACG